GGUUACUAAAAAAGCCCUAACCAAAUCACAACCGCAAGAAGCCACUGUCCAUUUCCCCUGCCCCAUAAUUCCACCCUCAUUGUUCUUCAAUUACACCGGUGACUCCCACCCACUUUGAAUCCACGGUCAACUCCCACGUUUAGGUUAGCUCUCUCACUCAAUCCCAAGCUAAUACGGAGUCAUAUUGUUGAUGGAUGAGAGAUUGAUGGCUGGGUUUUGAAGUUGGAGAAGGAGAUGACGAUGACUACAGAACUUCGAAUCUUGUACAUGGAGUUCGCCUCCUUUUCUCCUCUAAACGGAAUGUGGGAUAAGUUAGAAGCAUACACCAAGGAAGCUUAGUGCCCUGCAAUUGACAUGAUCUACCAACACUUAAUGCAGGUCAUAACAUAACCAUUGGCUUGGCAUGGUUUCUAAAUCCUGGUUUGUUGUGCAUAUUUGGCUGAAUUUCCCCUUUUUAUUUUUAUUUUUAUUUUUUGUUAUCAAAAGAAAAAUCAGAACUUGUUGAGUUUCCUUAACCAGUGUCCUGAGGACUAAUGCAGAGUAUUCUCGAAUGUGUCUUAGUAAUACCCUUCAUUUUAUCUAUUUUAGCUACCAGGAUUGUUUGCCACAGGGGUCAAAUGACUCUAUACGAUUCUUAUUGCGGAAAAUUCAGCAAAAUUCUGCUGCUCAUAAACACACUGAUGUGAACUCAGCUUGUAACUAGUAAUCUGAUCAGUUUUGUUUCACAAAGUUGGUGUUCUUACCCGAUGUUGAUUUUCCGAAGCUUAGAUUGUCAGUGAUGAAUCUUAAUGACUGGCACUGAGAUAAUGCAACAAUUGCUGUCCAUUUGUGAAUGCAACAACUACUGUUCUUUUGCGUGAAUAGGUAAUGUUUUCUCUCUUGCACUUGUCACCAGUAAUGAUAUUUUCAUCUAUGGAUCUCAAGAGUGUUCAAAUAUAUAUUUUUGUUCAAAUAUAUAUUUUUCAUCAUUCGACUACUGCAAAAUAUUGAGCAUCGUAGGCUUUUUGAGAUCCAGUUGUCUUUUUGAGAUACAGUUGUCUCUAAUUUUUUGAAUUCUGCAAUCGCAUGUUGGCAUGAGUUUUAUGUGGUUAUGGUAAUUUCAAAACUUUUCCUUAACAGGUAAAUCGAGUACUUAUGAUCAUUUAAAUUUAAUUACAUAGGUUCCUUCUCUGCAAUUUAGUAGAGGCCUAGACCGAAAUUUCAAAAUGCAGACCAUCUUUAAGAAAUUUAUAAACUCAAACAUUGAAAUGGUCAUUUGGUACUACACUUAUUUGAAUUUCUAUGAGUCCAUUGAUCUGUUUAAUUCUUAAAAACAAUUGAGUCCUUACUAUUCAGUAGGUGUUCUAAUAUUUGAGCUGAAAAUAUAAAAGAACAGUUGAUUUCUUUUCCCUUAUUUUAAGCUCCAACCUUUAUGCUUAAGCUUAAUAUCUCAACCUUUAUGCUUAAGCUUAAUAUCGCGAAGCUAUAGAAUAAGAUUUGUCUGAGCAAGCAAUAAAUAUUACUUCAAUUCUCAUCAAAGCCUUUUUGUUGAUUACACAGUUUCAACAGAGACUGAUAUCAAUUUUCAGUUCUUUUGAUGUCUUUUGUGCUGAAUAGUUCGAUCAGAAGGUUGGCUUCUCUUGGGGUCCCACUAAAGCAGAGAAGGACGCGUCUGCAGUGGAUCAAACUAUUCAGCACACAAGACAUCAAAAGAACUUGUUGAGUUCUUCUAUUGCCAAGCUUGAGUAUCAACUCCUCCAAAAGCCUUGUAUUCUUUGCAGGGGUUGACAACCAAACCAAGACUGAUACUAUGGCUUUCCUUCAUUUUGGGAUUGGGACACCGUCUGUUACUUACCUAGGACUGCGAUUGACCUCAAGUGCCAUCAACUCUACAGACUGUCAAUCUCUUGUUGAAAGAAUUACUAGGGUGAAUAGAUGCACAUCAAGAUUCUUAUCUUUUGCAGGUAGAUCAAUUCUCAUUAAGUCCAUUUUAUGUUCAAUCCAAUUUCACUGGGCUCAAAAUUUUGUCUUUCCCAAAAAGGUGAUUAAUCAAGUGAACCGAAUCUUGAGAUGUUUCCUGUGGUUUGGAGUUGAAAUGAAGAGGAUAGGUGCAAAGGUAGCUUGGGAUGUGGUUUGUAGGACUAAAGCUCAGGGUGGAAUUGGUUUUCCAAAUUUAGAAAUGUCGAACAUUAUUACAAAUUUGAAGUAUAUUUUGGAAGCUUUUUGAUAGGAGUAAAGAGAGGUUAUGGGUGGCUUGGUGUUUCAGAUACUUGAUCAAAGCUGGGAGUUUCUGGAGUCUUAGGUCCUCUGCACUGAGCUCAGGUUUUUGGAGAAGAAUUCUAAAGUUGAGGGAUAUGGCCAGAUGAAUUAUUAAGCACAUAGUGAGGAAGGGCACUGACACUAUGUUAUGGAUGCAUUACGGUUACCAAAUGGUCCUAUCACUUCUCAGAUCAACCUCUUUGAAGUGGAAAUCCUUCGACUGGUUAGAUUUAUCAAAGUUGAUAGUCUAAUUUCCAAUUUUUAGUGGGUUGUCCCACCUUCAAUAGCUCACAUGUUAUUCUUCCAAUCCCAUAUCUUCCUCUCCCAGUUACAGAGCUCGCCUCUCCCCUCUAAUCUAUCAAAUAAGGUCCUCUGGUUACCCUCGCAAACCAAUUCAUUCUCCCUCUCUCAUACCAUCAAGUACUUCUCACCUCCAACCUACGCCCUUCUGGUCCUUUCGAUAUUCCUUUUGACCAAUGAAAUUAGUAGUUAAUUGCUAAGAUUCCAAUAGAUUAUUGAAUUCUCAUCCAUGUACAAUUUCUCUACCUCUAUAUAUAAAGGGAGUAGUAGAAUCAAACAAAUUUGUGCUGCUAAUCGAAGAGAAAUGAGUUAGAGCUGAUUUUAGAAAGAAAGGAUUUUUCAUGCUCCUGAAAAGGCAAGUGUCAAAAAGGCGCAUACUUUGAAAUUGUAGGAAACAUAGAUGAACCCCGCCACUACGGUCUGUCCCAACAUUCCCUCCAAUACCUUGUUAACCAACAUUUCCAUGGCAGCAUAUCAUCUGGUUUAAGCACCAUGUUCCCAAGCAUGGUUUCAUUGCUUGGCUUGCUCGAUCUCAGAGGAAGGUUGUAUACAUUGGAUUCUAAACCAAUGUUACAUAAGAACUACACUAAUACCUGUUACCUUUGUCUAGCCAGUGAGGAGUCAAUGGAUCACCUCUUCUUUAAGUGUAAGUUUUCAAAGGAUAUUUGGUGUUACAUUCAACAUUGUGAAGGGUUCUACAUCAGGCCUAGUAGCUGGCAUGAUCUGAUUGCUUGGUGUACCUCCAUCUGGCGUUCAAAAAGAUUUUUGGUCCACACGUUACUCCUCUCAGUCUCAGCUGCUGUUUAUUUCAUUUGGUUGGAAAGGAAUUGAAGGGCCUUUAGAAAUAGGUUAUCCACUUCACAUCAGAUCAUUGAGCAAAUCAGGAAGUGCACCAGAUCGAGGCUCUGCUGACCUCAAGAAGAUUACCAAAUGGGAGGACCUCCAACUUCUGUUCAUGCAGGGAUGCAGCUUUGCAACUGCCCAGUCACUCCUAAGCUGAUUUUGGAACUACAUUGUAUGGUGGUUGACUAUGCCUCUGAUCUGUGCACUUGUUCACUCUGUUUGGUUUUGUGCUUUGUUGCCUCCUGGCUUUUUGUGUUGUCCUCUUUGGGACCCCAUGUACAUUAUCUUCCUUUUUAUACAAGCUUACCCUUUUAACUAAAAAAAAAAAGAAAAGAAAAGAAGCAAAUUCAAUGCAAAAUUUUGUGCGUACAUUUAUUAGAAAUAUAUAUAUAUAGGACCUUAAUUCAGGCUGUGGGGUUGAUCAAUUUGUUUGAUCUGCUUUUUUGAUGGCUUGCUUCAUAGUCAACUUUGCUCAUUUUUGGAAUUAUUGAAUUAGUUGUUCCUUAUGCAGCAUUUCGAGGUCAAAUACCACACUUUGAAAAUUAAAUUUUCGCCGACUUUCAUCCCAUUCCAUAUUUUCCUUUUUUAAAAUUCAUUUCUUGUAUCUCAUGUUGUCCACAAAUUAAUUGUUACUCAUUUUGUUCUUUAUAUCUUAUGUUGUUUACAAAUAUAUACUUGUGUUAAGAGUUGGUCUCAUAUCUUAAUUUUCUCUUUUUCCCAUCUCAGGUGCUUCCAUCUUUGGAAAACACAAAAAAUGUGUCACAUUGGCUUUUGAGGUUCUUUAGUCCGCUGAAGGACUGUUAUCUGUCGGUUAUAGCCACACGAAUUGAAAAAGUCCCAACCCGUUUGCUCUGUGCAACAAAAAAUUAAAAAAAAAAUAUGCCUCCUUUGUGUGGUAAAAACACCCAAACAAGGGCCUAUCUGUUCAAAAGGACUAAAACGACCUUGUAUCAAUAUAAUAAAAUAAUAUUUAAACAAUAAGCUGAAGUAAAAUGACCAUUUGGAACAAAAUAACUCUCCCCCUACAAGGUAUAUAUAUUACGUAAGGAAUGCAAGAAGAACAAUACAACUCUGAAACACUCGUGUUAUGCACUACUACAACCCAGAAGAUGGAUAUAAUACAUCUCUAAUGCUAGCUAUGCUUUGCGUGAAAGGAAAUAUUAGGAAAGGAAAAUGGUAUAAACAAACACACAUGACAUCCAAUCAAGCAAUGAACAUGAUCAGAGAGCCUAGCAUUGUGCAAUGAAGCUUUAACUCCAGGUCUGCAACCAUAAGGAACUAUCCAUAACCCAAGAAAGGACAUCAAAAAAAUCAUUCAAUUCAACACCACCAUAUAAUCCUUCCCAAAACAAAACAAAUUUAUCCUUUCUCAAUAUAUAUUCAAAUAUUCAUAACUCCUCUUAAAAAGUCAGUUUCAGAUCAAAACAAUAGAAGUCAGCGUGAUGUUACAAGAAGGUUUCUAGUACAUGUUCGCCCUUCAUGAAGGCUUGCAUUAUCACAAUGUGGUGAGGAAGUCAGCUUCUGAUCAAAACAAUGUGGUGAGGAAGUCAGCUUGAUCCGCGUGAUGUCAAACCUUACAGGAAGGUUUCUAGUACAUGUUCGCCCCUCACGAAGGCUUGAAUUAUCACAAUGUGGUGAGAAGUCAGUUUCAG